GCAUAACGCGAAGAACCUUACCAAGGCUUGACAUCCCCUUGACUGGCACAGAGAUGUGCCCUCUCCUUCGGGAGCAAGGGUGACAGGUGGUGCAUGGUUGUCGUCAGCUCGUGUCGUGAGAUGUUGGGUUAAGUCCCGCAACGAGCGCAACCCUUAUCCUUAGUUGCCAGCAUUUAAGGUGGGCACUCUAAGGAGACUGCCGAUGAUAAAUCGGAGGAAGGUGGGGAUGACGUCAAAUCAUCAUGCCCCUUAUGUCUUGGGCUACACACGUGCUACAAUGGUCGGUACAAAGGGGAGCGAAGGAGUGAUCUGGAGCAAAUCCCAAUAAACCGAUCUCAGUUCGGAUUGUAGGCUGCAACUCGCCUACAUGAAGUCGGAGUUGCUAGUAAUCGCGAAUCAGAACGUCGCGGUGAAUGCGUUCCCGGGUCUUGUACACACCG
rnacentral:rRNA from 1 species